UACGUAGGGUGCGAGCGUUGUCCGGAUUUAUUGGGCGUAAAGAGCGUGUAGGCGGUCAGGUAGGUCGGUUGUGAAAACUGGAGGCUCAACCUUCAGAGGUCGACCGAAACCCCCUGGCUAGAGUCCGGGAGAGGAGAGUGGAAUUCCUGGUGUAGCGGUGAAAUGCGCAGAUAUCAGGAAGAACACCCGUGGCGAAAGCGGCUCUCUGGAACGGUACUGACGCUGAGACGCGAAAGCGUGGGGAGCGAACAGG
rnacentral:rRNA from 1 species